rnacentral:rRNA from 1 species
UUAUUGGGCGUAAGGGCUCGCAGGCGGUUUCUUAAGUCUGAUGUGAAAGCCCCCGGCCCUACCGGGGAGGGUCAUUGGAAACUGGGAAACUUGAGUGCACAUUAGGAGAGUGGAAUUCCACGUGUAGCGGUGAAAUGCGUAGAGAUGUGGAGGAACACCAGUGGCGAAGGCGACUCUCUGGUCUGUAACUGACGCUGAGGAGCGAAAGCGUGGGGAGCGAACAGGAUUAGAUACCCUGGUAGUCCACGCCGUAAACGAUGAGUGCUAAGUGUUAGGGGGUUUCCGCCCCUUAGCGCUGCAGCUAACGCAUUACGCACUCCGCCUGGAGAGUACGGUCGCAAGACUGAAACUCAAAGGAAUUGACGGGCGCCCGCACAAGCGGUGGAUCUUGUGUUUUAAUUCAAAGCAAUUUUUUUAUCCUUACCAGGUCUCUGACCUC